UUGGUCAUACUUAUUACCCAGAAGAGUAUUACCUGGGGAAAUUACCAUGAUACUUUUGUCAUACAUUCACAUCAAGGAGUCUUUAUGUUAACCUGUAUUUUUUCCAUCAAUAUUAGAGAUGGCAAUGAAGGUCCAACUGCAUAAAUAUCUGUUGUUGUGAAAUUGUGAGUUGUUUGUUAAGCCAUGCUCUAAAUUUAAUUUUCACAAACUCAUAUUCCUUAUUUUUCAAAAAUUUAAUGAUUAGUAGUCAUUGUUUAUCUGUGGGAUCUUGAUAUUACCUUAAGCUUUUGAAAAGCCUAGCAAAGACAUGAUCUCUGUCAUAAGUUUCAUAUUUCAAAUUCCUUUAAGAGCAAAAAAACCCCACAAAACCUUCAAGGUCUGGUCACCAUUUCUCAGCUGUCAAAAAUGUCUUUUCUUUCUGGUGAUAGAGAAAUAUCACAUUGUGCUGCUGUUUUGUUUCAAGGUCAUCUGUCAAGAGUCUCAAUCUACCUGCAAGUCUUGAUGGAUCUUAAACAUCAGUGGGAAGAAGUCCAAAGCCAUCCAAAUGGGUCCAGAUCCGGAACCAAUUAUCCAGCAGAAACACCACUGACACUAGCAUUUGGCAUUUAGUGAUGCUCAGGACUGGAUUCCAGAAGCACUGCCACUCCCCGCCCUCAAGAAUUGGAUCCCUCUACCACCUGGCCUGCUGAAAGUCCAAUAUUCCUGGGUGCACCUCCCUCGAGUGUUCCCUCUAGAUCUGCCUCCUGAGGAUAGAUUAGUUGUAGCUAGGCCGCAUGCCUGCUCCCUAAUGCAGAGAGUUUGGGUUUCCAAGUUUUCUGGCUUCCUCUUUGGGAAGGUGAGACACAUGAUGCGGGAAAUGACCAUGAUGAAAGGAGAAUGCUCAGAUGACAGGGUAACUUGAGUGAGGAAUGUCCCUUAGAGGCUCAGUCAUUUUGAAUGUCCUGCAUACAGUGAUGGUGGAUUUCUGUCCCCAAGGAGAAGCUUCCUGCAGCAAGUACCAAUCAGCACUCUCCAGAUGCAUUCCCCAUUCCUCAGAUCCCAGGAUGGUUCCAACCCUUUGCUGUCACAGAGAAAACUUGCCAUUUCUGAAACCUGUAGCCCCGUUUCCUCUUUUCCUUCCCUCACCAGCAUACCCAGCCUUAGCAUGGGGUAUUGAGAUGAUGAAAAUAAACUGAUAAAAGUGUUUGUGGGCAUGUGUGUGUGU